CGAAAUGCGAUAAGUAAUGUGAAUUGCAGAAUUCAGUGAAUCAUCGAAUCUUUGAACGCACCUUGCGCUCCUUGGUAUUCCUUGGAGCAUGCCUGUUUGAGUAUCAUGAAAUCUUCAAAGUAAAUCUUUUGUUAACUCAAUUGGUUUCUACUUUGGUAUUGGAGGUCUUUGCAGCUUCACACCUGCUCCUCUUUGUUCAUUAGCUGGAUCUCAGUGUUAUGCUUGGUUCCACUCGGCGUGAUAAGUUAUCUAUCGCUGAGGACACUGUAAAAGGUGGCCAAGGUAAAUGCAGAUGAACCGCUUCUAAUAGUCCAUUGACUUGGACAAUACUUUUAUGAUCUGAUCUCAAGUCAGGUAGGACUACCCGCUGAACUUAAGC
rnacentral:misc_RNA from 1 species